UACGGAGGAUCCAAGCGUUAUCCGGAUUUAUUGGGUUUAAAGGGUGCGUAGGUGGGAUAAUAAGUCAGAGGCGAAAGCUAGCAGCUUAACUGUUAAAUUGCCUUUGAUACUGUUAUUCUUGAGUAUAGUUGGCGUUGGCGGAAUGUGACAUGUAGCGGUGAAAUGCGUAGAUAUGUCACAGAACACCGAUCGCGAAGGCAGCUAACGAAACUAUCACUGACACUGAUGCACGAAAGCGUGGGGAGCAAACAGG
rnacentral:rRNA from 1 species